UACAGAGGGGGCAAGCGUUGUUCAGAAUUACUGGGCGUAAAGGGCGCGUAGGCGGCCUGCUAAGUCGAACGUGAAAUCCCUGGGCUCAACCCAGGAACUGCGUCCGAUACUGGUUGGCUUGAAUCCGGGAGAGGGACGUGGAAUUCCAGGUGUAGCGGUGAAAUGCGUAGAUAUCUGGAGGAACACCGGUGGCGAAGGCGACGUCCUGGACCGGCAUUGACGCUGAGGCGCGAAAGCCAGGGGAGCAAACGGG
rnacentral:rRNA from 1 species